GAAGAAGCCAAGAAUUGGGAGUUUUCUGCUGAUGAUGCUAUGCUAAGCUGGGCAGAGAGACCAUGGCGAGUGAGUACCAUGAAUUUUCCUACCAGCUUCAGUGUGGCUGAUUUUAGCUUGCCUGUGAUGCAGGAGCCUUUUAACUAGUUUCUGGAUUUCUCUUGAAGGGAAUCGAUCUGUGUAUUUUUGCUUGUUGACUUGGUGUCUCCUUUGGAGGAAGGAAGUUUUCUGACUUUAUCUAUUCUGCCAUCUUCCUGACAUCACCAGUCUCUAUUUUAUUAUUUGUUUUCUUUUUGUUUCUUCUUCUCUUCUUUCUUUUUUUUUUUUCUUCAAGGUCUUGCUCUAUCACCUAGGCUGUUGGAGUGCAGUGGUGUGAUCAGAGCUAACUGUAGCCUUGAACUCCUGGGCUCAAGUGACCCUGUAGCUAAGACUACAGGCAUGUGCCACCAUGCCUAGCUGAUUUUUGUUUCACUUUUGUAGAGAUCAGGUCUCACUAUGUUGCCCAGGCUAGUCUCAAACUCCUGGCCUCAAGCAAUUCUUCCACCUCAAUCUUCCAAAGCACUGGGAUUACAGGAAUGAGCCACCAUGCCUGGCUUGUUACCCCUGUUUCUUGUUAUUUUAUGAAUGUUUUAGCACUAUCCCUUUGUUGCUGUCCUUGCGUUAGUGAGUUUUCAUGAGAUCUGGUUGUUUAAAAAGUGUAUGGCAUCCCCCUGCGUCUCUCUCUUGCUCCUGAUUUUGCCAUGUGAUGUGGCUUCUCCCAUUUCACACCAUGAUUAUAAGCUUUCUGAGGCUUUCCCAGAAUCACAUGCCUCUCUGCUUCUUGUACAACCUGCACAACUGUGAGCCGAUGAAACCUAUUUUCUUUAUAAAUUAUCCACUCUCAGGUAUUUCUUUAUAGCAAUGCAAGAAUGGACUAAUACAGCUCUAUUGGUGUCAUACAUGUCCUUAUAAGAGGGAGACAGAAGGAGAUGUGUGAUCAAAGACGAAGGCAAUGUGGUGACUAAAACAAGAUAUGAUACUGAUGGCUUUGAAGAUGGAGGAAGGGGCAAAGGAAUGCAAGGAAUGCAGCUCUAGAAGCCAGAAAAGUCAAGAGUAUUUGGAAAGAGUGUGGCCCUAUUGACACGUUGAUUUUGGCCAAGUGAAACUGAUUUUCAAUUUAGAGGCGCGGGCGGCGGCGGCGGCGGUAGGAGCGGCGGCUGCAGGAGCAGCAGCAGCAGAAGCAGCGGCGGGUACUCUGUGCUCUGCGUCCCGGAGGCAGCCGACUGCGCCACCCCACCCUCGCACGGCCGGGCGGGACCCGCGCCACCAGCCCGGACCUCCGUCGUCCCGCGGCGACCAAAAUCUCCGCUGGCCGCACCGCUGUGACUACUCCGGACUCGCCGGCAGAGUUUGCCCGCCGGGGAGGGUGGCCGAUUGGCGGAGCGCACUCCUGCUGUUUCUCCCACCAUCUCGUGGAUGUCGUCCCUCGGGUGGUGAGAGAACUUUGCAGUGGGCUGGAGCGCCCUUUGCGGAGAAGCACACGAAGGUGAAGGAAGGAAAGAAAGAAGACCGAGGAACGAGGAAGAAGGGGCUCGGAAGAAGGGUCCGGAGCGGCCGGGCCGGCCGUGCAGGGCGAGUGCGCGCGAGGCGCGGCGCCCUGAUGCUCCCCGAGCUCGAGGAGCAGCGGCCAUUUGCGGGACUGCUCUCGGUGGAGUAGCCCCGUCGGGCCCGGAGGUUUGUGCAACCGCGGAGAACACCGAGUGCUGGUCGCACGGGGCGUGCCGAGCCGCCUUCCGGCGCGCCCUCCGCACUUUCCCCGCCUAGUCAUCCCUCGCUCCCCGGCCAGGAGCCUCCGCCGCGUCCUCAACCUCUCUCCCUUUUGCGUCCCGGGACCCUGCGAGCACCCGGGCCGAGCGUCGGGUUUGUGUGGGGUUAGCGGGGGCCGCCGCGCCACCUGCGCCUCGCCCGCCGCCGCCUCGGGGAAAACCCGAAGAGGAGGCGGACCAGGAGAAGAGCAAAGAAAAGCAGCCCGUCUGGAUUUGUUUGCCCAGGACUGGCGCCGCGCACGCGGAUCCCCGAGGGGAGUGCGGUCGGAGUCACCGCGCCCCCGCCUCCCCGCCCGGGCGACUGAGGCCAAGAGGAAUUCCAGUUCCUGCAGGCGCAGUAUCACAGCCUUAAAUUGGAAUGUGAGUAACCGGCAAGUGAAAAGACAGAAAUGCAGAGGCACUAUGUGAUGUAUUACGAAAUGCCAUAUGGAUUAAACAUUGAAAUGCACAAACAGACUGAAAUCGCCAAGAGAUUGAAUACGAUUUGUGCACAAGUCAUCCCAUUUCUGUCUCAGGAACAUCAACAACAGGUGGCCCAGGCUGUCGAACGUGCCAAACAGGUGACCAUGGCAGAGUUGAAUGCCAUCAUCGGGCAGCAGCAGUUGCAAGCUCAGCAUCUUUCUUAUGGCCACGGACCCCCAGUUCCCCUUACGCCUCACCCUUCGGGACUUCAGCCUCCUGGAAUCCCGCCCCUCGGGGGCGAGAGGCCCGGCAAGCCAGAUUAGGACUUUGUCCUCAUACUCUUACAGUGCUGCAAAGUUGUGUGGAUCGCUAAAGAGAGCCCCAACCUAUACAGAAAGCAAACAAUGAGAUAAGAGGAACUGUCUCAAAGCUUUCCACUGAAACACAGGUCACCCUGGAAGUUUGCAGGGUUUGCUGUGGGCAUCUGUAGAUUUCUCGAUCUCGUUAGAUUGCAGGCAUCUUGACAUCUUGGCAACUGCCUAGUUAAUGCCAGUGGCCUGUACCAUAUUAUGGAAAACUGUUAACUGCUUAAUUGGGUAAUUUUCAAAGAAAGUAAUGUUGUUAAAUGGGGUGAAAUAAGAAGUUAAAUUUGAAAGUGAAUGUGUUCAAAUGAAAGGUUUGAUAAUUGCAUCUGUUACUACUUAGUUUCAUAGGCUUUAAUUCUAGUAUGCAUUAAAUAUUGGGC
rnacentral:lncRNA from 1 species